GAAAUGCGAUAAGUAAUGUGAAUUGCAGAAUUCAGUGAAUCAUCGAAUCUUUGAACGCACAUUGCGCCCGCUAGUACUCUAGCGGGCAUGCCUGUUCGAGCGUCAUUUCAACCCUCAAGCCCGGCUUGGUGUUGGGGCCCUACGGCUGCCGUAGGCCCUGAAAGGAAGUGGCGGGCUCGCUGCAACCCCGAGCGUAGUAAUUCAUUUUCUCGCUAUGGACGUUGCGGCGGUGCUCCUGCCGUUAAAGACCCAUCUUUAACCAAAGGUUGACCUCGGAUCAGGUAGGAAUACCCGCUGAACUUAA
rnacentral:misc_RNA from 1 species